GAUGAACGCUGGCGGCGUGCUUAACACAUGCAAGUCGAACGAUGAAGCCCAGCUUGCUGGGUGGAUUAGUGGCGAACGGGGGAGUAACACGUGAGUAACCUGCCCUUUACUCUGGGCUACGCCUGGGAAACUGGGUCUAAUACUGGAUAUGACUUCUCCUCGCAUGGUGGGGGGUGGAGAGAUUUAUGGGUCUUGGAUGGACUCGCGGCGUGUCAGCUUGUUGGUGGGUUAUUGGCUCGCCACGGGGAUGACGGGUCGCCGGCCUGAGAGGGUGAUGGGCCACACUGGGACUGAGACACGGCCCAGACUCGGACGGGAGGCAGCAGUGGGGAAUAUUGCACAAUGGGCGCAAGCCUGAUGCAGCGACGCCGCGUGAGGUAUGACGGCCUUCGGGUUGUAAACCUCUUUCAGUAGGGAAGAAGCGAGAGUGACGGUACCUGCAGAAGAAGCGCCGGCUAACUACGUG
rnacentral:rRNA from 1 species